AAAAGUUCUGAGGGCAC
rnacentral:tRNA from 1 species